GACGAACGCUGGCGGCGUGCCUAAUACAUGCAAGUGGGACGCAAGGGAACACACUGUGCUUGCACACCGUGUUUUCUUGAGUCGCGAACGGGUGAGUAACGCGUAGGUAACCUGCCUAUUAGCGGGGGAUAACUAUUGGAAACGAUAGCUAAUACCGCAUAAUAUUAAUUAUUGCAUGAUAAUUGAUUGAAAGAUGCAAGCGCAUCACUAGUAGAUGGACCUGCGUUGUAUUAGCUAGUUGGUAAGGUAAGAGCUUACCAAGGCGACGAUACAUAGCCGACCUGAGAGGGUGAUCGGCCACACUGGGACUGAGACACGGCCCAGACUCCUACGGGAGGCAGCAGUAGGGAAUCUUCGGCAAUGGACGAAAGUCUGACCGAGCAACGCCGCGUGAGUGAAGAAGGUUUUCGGAUCAUAAAGCUCUGUUGUAAGUCAAGAACGUGUGUGAGAGUGGAAAGUUCACACAGUGA
rnacentral:rRNA from 1 species